CGGCCACGAGGGCCGACAAAAAUAUGACCAUAUUUUCGUCUGCCGACGAAAAAACGCCUAUUUUCGUCGACUUUAUUUUGUCGGCCUAAUUUCGUCGGCAUUAGGCCUAUUUUCGUCGGCUUCUGGCCGACGAAAAUACCCUAUUUUCCUGUAGUGUUGGAAGCGCAUAAAGCACUCGGUGUUAUCAAAAGAUACAUCGUGGGAAGAGUGCCCUCUUCAGUUAAGUUAAAUGUUGGGGAGCCUUGUACCCGGUGUCAUGCUAUAGGUGUGAAGAAACCAAAGUUAUCUAACAAUUAAGUGUGCAAUGUUGCACAUGUUGUUGUAAACUUAAUGUUUUGGUAGUGUCCAGCUGAACAAUGCUGCUUCUUUUUUUCCCCCUGUCAUAACCGCUAAAACGUCCAGGCUAUCCUGUGGUAUCACACCCUGUGCCUUUAGCACUUGAUUUGAACUUUUGAGACUAGUAGUUUAGCUCUUCAGACCUUCAGCCAAAAGUUCGCUGGCCGUGACCCGUUCUUAUAACAUGAUGGCUGUAUGCAAACAUCACCAUUUAGAACGCGUCAUCCUUUUCCUGCUUCCUGUGCUCCUUUUCUUUUUUGUAAUGGAAAGUUGUUGGGCUCCUAGGCUCCUAGCUCUUACUUUCUCCGUUUUUAUUUAUAUAUCGUAUUAGUUUUGUCCUAAGUCAAAGUUAGCUAAUUUGACCAAAUCUAUAGAAAAAUAUAACAACAACUAUAAUAUUCAACAUAUACGCUAUCAACGUAUACUUCAUGGUGGAUUCAAUGAAACAAAUUUUGUAUUGUAAAUGUGUUAUUAUUUUUGCUAUAAAGUUGGCCAAAUUUGACUUAGGAUAAACCUAGUACGAUAUGAAAAUAAAAACAGUGGAAGUAAUAGUUUUUGGAGCCAACUCGGUUUCGGAAUUUGUUUUCUUUUUUGAGAGGAGGAAACUAUGUAAACAUGGUAGUCUUUUUUUUAGAAAAUGUAAACAUGGUAGUCUAGAAGCGCAAAGUAGAAAAGCGCAUAAAUAACGAAGGCCUGUACACGAAGCCCACACAAACUGAUCAUGGCCCAUUCAAGAUUACGUCAGAUUGGUUUCCUCCUACCCAAUUCUCUCUCGCUCUCCUUUCGACGUCGCAUUCCAGAGCUCGAUUUGCUCACGGAGCAUCUGUUUUCUGUAGCCCUACUCAUCACCAUAAGAAAAAAAGAAGGGUGACCCCGCCCUUCUCCUUACCCAAAGGCCCCAACCCGGCGGCGCUAACUCGAUUUCUUCCCCUAGCGCCCUCUUCAGUUGUUUCGGACGAUUUCGAAUCGAAAACGAGAGCGCGCGGGAGGUGCGGAAUUGAGGUACCUAGAGACAGGGGUGCAGAUAGAUCUAGAGGGGAGACAAGCACAAAAGCACUUGCGCACACAGAGAGAUGGAAGGGCGAAGUGAGGUCGGCCAGCUGCGGCUUCGUGCCCUCGGAACCGGAACCAUGGGGUUCGUGGCGCUGAAUCGCCUCGUGUUCAAGCAGAAGGAGCAGAGGUGUCGCCGGCGAAUCCACAUUUUGCUUUUGCAUCAGAUUCGUUUGUGGUUGCAUGCAUACCAAUCUGUGUGAAGCGUGAUCUGGCUGAACCGUCAUCCUCGAUGGCUUUUAAGGUGUUUGCUGCUAUCGAAUUCAACUUACCUACAAACAGUUUUGGUGGGCUUACCUUGGGACUACACCUUUGCUGUAGCUUUGGGUCACAUUUUAGCACUUUACAUGGCUGGACCUCCGGUGCCUAGCAGUCCGACGUGUGACGACUCCUUCCAGCCACCCUGCGAUGAGAAUCCAAGAGGCAGAAUGAAGCUGCUGCAGAUGGUUUGGAUGGCUUUGAUACUGAUGAAGAAGAGGAUGAUGAAGUUGAGUCUGACAGAGAUUGGUCUUGAUAAUGAAGAUGGCGAUGGAGUAAUAAUUUCAAUCCUCAGAGUUUUGCGGAGGUGAGAGGUUUCCAUCGAGAAGAUUCAGAAGAUGAUUCUGAUGAUGAUUUUAGCGACGAUGAAGAGCUACAGACACCAAUAGAUGAGGUGGGCCCAUUUAUUUUCUUUGUCGAAACCAUCCAGGGUUUUCAAGCAUCUGAUCCAAGUAGGUUCCAGAGCCUUAUGCAGACUAUGCACGCCGAGGAAAGAAAAGCUGAAAUUGCAAAAGAGAAGUUGGAGAAGGCAACUGCACAGUGAUUACUACAGCAUGGUUGGGUCGUGUCUUGAGUUUUGCCGAUGCCUGGGACUGGCACGGGGCCAGAAUCCUGUCUGUGAUUUGGUGAUCGCAGGUGAGGGGUGUUUUUUUCGUUGCCUUGGCCUACCUGCUUUGGGGAGGUCAGUUUUGAGGCACACUAUUUCUAGGGGAAAUGGAUGGCAACCAUAGCGACUAGUGAGAGUCUGUCGGAGUUGGUUUCUUGAGUGGGUCAUGGUGGGGGUGUAUGUAUCAGUGAACACUGUGUUGCCGCUGUUUUCGGUUGAUGGGUCCUCUGCUAGAUGGUACACCGUGGGCACACCCACCACAAGGUCGCCGCCUGUAAGUUUCGGGGGUGUGAAUCUAAAUUAGAUACUUAUUAUUAUACCAUUUGUGUGCCCAACAAGGAUUAUACGACGGGUUUUUGUUU